AUUGAACGCUGGCGGCAGGCCUAACACAUGCAAGUCGAGCGGAUGAAGGGAGCUUGCUCCUGGAUUCAGCGGCGGACGGGUGAGUAAUGCCUAGGAAUCUGCCUGGUAGUGGGGGAUAACGUCCGGAAACGGGCGCUAAUACCGCAUACGUCCUGAGGGAGAAAGUGGGGGAUCUUCGGACCUCACGCUAACAGAUGAGCCUAGGACGGAUUAGCUAGUUGGUGGGGUAAAGGCCUACCAAGGCGACGAUCCGUAACUGGUCUGAGAGGAUGAUCAGUCACACUGGAACUGAGACACGGUCCAGACUCCUACGGGAGGCAGCAGUGGGGAAUAUUGGACAAUGGGCGAAAGCCUGAUCCAGCCAUGCCGCGUGUGUGAAGAAGGUCUUCGGAUUGUAAAGCACUUUAAGUUGGGAGGAAGGGCAGUAAGUUAAUACCUUGCUGUUUUGACGUACCAA
rnacentral:rRNA from 1 species